CUUAAAGGGCCAUGCCAUCUCAUGCAGUCUUGGGGUUUUACAUACAGUUAUAAGAUUUUAUAAUUACCAACAUACUCAUGAUUCAGCUAGAGUAAGCUCAUGUCAACCCAUAUAGAGGACUGGAGAGAGCCGGACUCUCUGCUCAAUUGACAACAGAGGAGCCAUCCAUCGAGUUUGACAAUAAAGAAGCCAAGCACCUUGUUACACAGACCCCUGCAUACUCUGGUUACUGGGUACAUAUAUGCAAAUGAGGUGAAGAAUAAGAACCAAUCAAGAGGAAGCCUGUUAGCCCAAGAAGCACAAACCCACCCAAAGGGUUCCCAAACAGAGAGCUACUUCAAACCAACCUUGACUUCUGGCCUCAAUGCUGGGAGGUCACUGAGAGAAAAUCCACAAAGGCUCCUGACACCAGAUAGUGACAGCUGUGUACAGUUUCCUGGUGAAACUCUAACCACCAAGGUGACAGCUCGUGAUCCUGACAACAGAGUGACGUCUCAGACCCAGGAAGCAUGCCCCCUUCCUGCUCCUCUGGAGACAAAUUCCUUGGUUUCCAUCCCUAAGGGAUUGGCGCUCAUUUUAACUUUGCCAG